GGUGCUCACAUGUCCUCCU
rnacentral:miRNA from 1 species